GAGAGAGAAUGUGUGUGCGUGUGUGCGCCCGUGCGCGUUCUAAUUAGGAUGGGUUGUAGGAAAAGCUCUGAGGACAUGAUAUUGAAAUAUUGUAAGGUGUUGGGGGUGGGGAGAGAGAAGAGCAUGUGGCAAGGAUCCAGGCAGGAGAAAUGUGGUGUGUUUGAGGAAUUACAGGAAAGCCCGUGCCUGGAACUUCGAGACUGAAGGAGAAUGGUUCCAGAAGAGGCUGCGGGGAAUGCCAAAUUUUUGUAAAAUCAAGCCAAUGAAGAAAGCUUGAGAACCACAACAAAGCCAGUCAAAGCCGAUGCCCAGAUGCCCGCAAUCUUGUGCUUUCUCUUGGGAAACAGAAAAGACGGCAAGACCCAGGAAACCAGGAGGAUGAGAGUGUACCCUUUGACUCUCUGGAUGCCCUAUACCAACGCCACAAAGUUCUGCUCAGAUGCCUUCUCUUCCAGAACAUCCUCCUGGAAGCCACCAUCAGACGCCAUCUCUCCCAGCCGGCCUGUGCCAGCGGCUCCCACACACUGCUCUGGGUGCCACUGUCCACCAGCAGCUCGCUCCAGCCCGAAGCCGGCUGCCGGCCCACACGCUCUCGCUCGUCCCCGCCGUCUGAAGUCAUCCCCUGUCCCCAUCUCCAGCCCGCCCGUCACAGAGAUUUUUCUCACACGCAAACCUAGGCUGCCACAUGCAUGCCCCAAACCUUCCGCGGCUCCCCCGAGUCUGACGCUCACGAUAAGACUCCACCGCCUAGGCCACAAGCACCCUGCAUGGCAUGGCCCCGUCUAGCCCUUCAGCUUUGUCUUUGUGUUUGGCCUGAAAUGUAACUAAGAGGCCAUAAAAUUCACCCUUUGAAAGUAUACAGUUUAGGGGGAAUCUGGCUGGCUUAGUCGGUA